rnacentral:sRNA from 1 species
AUCAAUUGGUCCGUGUUUGUGUUUAUAUGUAGAUUA